rnacentral:rRNA from 1 species
AGUGAACGCUGGCGGUAGGCCUAACACAUGCAAGUCGAACGGCAGCACAGUAAGAGCUUGCUCUUACGGGUGGCGAGUGGCGGACGGGUGAGGAAUACAUCGGAAUCUACUUUUUCGUGGGGGAUAACGUAGGGAAACUUACGCUAAUACCGCAUACGACCUACGGGUGAAAGCAGGGGAUCUUCGGACCUUGCGCGAUUGAAUGAGCCGAUGUCGGAUUAGCUAGUUGGUGGGGUAAAGGCCCACCAAGGCGACGAUCCGUAGCUGGUCUGAGAGGAUGAUCAGCCACACUGGAACUGAGACGCGGUCCAGACUCCUACGGGAGGCAGCAGUGGGGAAUAUUGGACAAUGGGCGCAAGCCUGAUCCAGCCAUACCGCGUGGGUGAAGAAGGCCUUCGGGUUGUAAAGCCCUUUUGUUGGGAAAGAAAAGCAGCAGGUUAAUACCCCGCUGUUCUGACGGUACCCAAAGAAUAAGCACCGGCUAACUUCGUG